rnacentral:rRNA from 1 species
GAUGAACGCUAGCGGCAGGCCUAAUACAUGCAAGUCGAACGAAUCUAAUCCUUUCGGGGAUUAGGUUAGUGGCGCACGGGUGCGUAACGCGUAUGCAACCUACCUUCCACAGGGGGAUAGCCUUCCGAAAGGAAGAUUAAUACCGCAUAACACCUUUUCCCGGCAUCGGGAGAUGGUCAAAGAUUUAUCGGUGGAAGAUGGGCAUGCGUGCCAUUAGCUAGUUGGUAGUGUAACGGACUACCAAGGCUUCGAUGGCUAGGGGUUCUGAGAGGAUGGUCCCCCACACUGGUACUGAGACACGGACCAGACUCCUACGGGAGGCAGCAGUAGGGAAUAUUGGGCAAUGGCCGAGAGGCUGACCCAGCCAUGCCGCGUGCAGGAAGAAGGCCUUCUGGGUUGUAAACUGCUUUUAUCUGGGAAGAAAACGCUCUUGCGAGAGUAACUGACGGUACCAGAUGAAUAAGCACCGGCUAACUCCGUGCCAGCCGCCGCCGUAAGAC